GGCUACGAUGAAUAAAUUAAUGGCAGCUGUAAGAAGUAAAAGUUCGUUCGUAAUUAUUUGAUCAAUAUAUUAUGCUGAUAUUUGCCGUUGAAACUAUAUCAGCCUAUCAGUUAUCUUAAAAAUGUUACUAAAAUUGUAUAACUUUCCUGUAUAUCUUUAAAAAGUCAGAAAGAACCCCCAAACUAUUUAACUCUCUUUUUCAGAGGUUUUCGUCUUGAAGCAAAUUCAUUUUAACCAAGCAGAGUACUUUAGGGUCAACUAAAAUGUAAUUGUUUCGCAUGCAUAUAUAUUUUAUCAACGAUUUGUACUAUAAAAAUCCUUGAUUUUAU
rnacentral:lncRNA from 1 species